CUGUUUUUUUUUAAUUUUAUGGGUCUAGAAGGGCCACAUCACCAUCCAAGGGGGACCGUUGGGCAACGAAGGUCACCGCCAAAAUCCUAGCCUAAAGUUGCAAGGAGGGUUGGCAACAUCACCGAGGAAGGUUACUGGACGUCGGGGAUCGCCGUCGAAGUCGCCAAGGAUUGUCAGGUAUUGCUUUAACGACUUUAAGUGUCUAAUCGUUUUUUUUAUGUAUUUAGGGUGGUCCACAUCACCGAAGAAGGCCACCGGACAACGAGGUUCGCUGUCGGAGCCUCUUCGAUCGUCGCCCAAAAUUGUCAACAGGGCUACACCACCAUCGAAGAGGAUGCGUGACAUCGAGGAUCGCCGCUGGAGCAACGAGAUUGUCGGCACGGAAGGCCUCACCACCAUCGAAGAGGACGUUGGACGCUGAAGAGGACGCUGAAGCACCGACAUCGUCACCAUGGAUGUUCCAGGUAUAUGUGUUGUACAUUUAAUUGUCUAACCGUGUUUUUUUUAUUUAUUUAGGAGGGUUGCAUCAUCGCCCAAGAGGACCACUGGACAACUAGAUUCGUCGUCGGAAGUAUCAUAAUUGUCGCCCAGAAUAAUCAAGAGGGCUCCGCCACCAUCGAAGAGGAUGUUGGACGCUGACGGAGCCACCAUGAUCGUCGCCCAAAAUUGUCAAUUAGAAGGGCAUCAACACCAUCGAAGAGGAUACUGGUCAUCGAGGAUCGUCGCUGGAGCAACGAGGUCGUCACCGUGGAUGUUGCAGGUACAUGUUUACACUUUUAAGUGUUUAAUUAUGUUUUUUUUUAAUGUAUUUAGGAUGGUCCACAUAACCACCAGAGAGGGCCAUAGGACAAUGAAGUUUGUCGUUAGAGCUGCCGUGGUUGUCGCCCGAAA